GAGAAGCUUGCUUGGUAUGGUCCGCUCCUCCCCUCUCUGCCUCUCAGCGAUGGUAGCUAGUUUCUAUUGGGAGAAGGUCAAAUGACUCCGCAUGUCUGGUUUUGUGUACGUCCCCGUGAUGGUGCACGCCUGAUGAAGAAACAUUUGUUUGGAUAGGCUAUUUGAGAGUAACCGAAUCGUCUUCUUUACUUUUGCGCCUGUGGAGGUUUGAAAAGUCAACAUCAUACCCCGAGCUUCCAAAGCCUGCGAGCAGGAGAACGAAGACGCUGUCAGGAUGUUUAGCACCAAAAGAAUCCAGAAACAUCAGUGCAGCACUGGAUGAGAAAUGCAGGGGUCUGUCAGGGGCCCAGAAACUCACUGACCCUUUAUACAC